rnacentral:rRNA from 1 species
ACGCACGCUGGCGGCGUGCUUCACACAUGCAAGUCGAACGGUGAAGCGCCUUCCUUUUUGGUGGGUGUGGAUGAGUGGCGAACGGGUGAGUAACACGUGAGUAACCUGCCCCCUUCUUCUGGAUAACCGCAUGAAAGUGUGGCUAAUACGGGAUAUUCUGGGUCUGUCGCAUGAUGGGUCUGGGAAAGAUAUUGUUUCGGUGGGGGAUGGGCUCGCGGCCUAUCAGCUUGUUGGUGGGGUGAUGGCCUACCAAGGCGGUGACGGGUAGCCGGCCUGAGAGGGUGGACGGUCACACUGGGACUGAGACACGGACCAGACUCCUACGGGAGGCAGCAGUGGGGAAUAUUGCACAAUGGGCGCAAGCCUGAUGCAGCGACGCCGCGGGAGGGAUGGAGGCCUUCGGGUUGUGAACCUCUUUCGCCAGUGAAGCAGGCCUGCCUCGUUUGUGGGUGGGUUGACGGUAGCUGGAUAAGAAGCGCCGGCUAACUACGUG